rnacentral:rRNA from 1 species
AUUCCAGCUCCAAUAGCGUAUAUUUAAGUUGUUGCAGUUAAAAAGCUCGUAGUUGGACUUUGGGCCGGGUCGGCCGGUCCGCCGAUGGGUAUGCACUGGCCGGCGCGUCCUUCCACCCGGAGACCGCGCCUACUCUUAACUGAGCGGGCGCGGGAGACGGGUCUUUUACUUUGAAAAAAUCAGAGUGUUUCAAGCAGGCAGUCGCUCUUGCAUGGAUUAGCAUGGGAUAAUGAAAUAGGACUCUGGUGCUAUUUUGUUGGUUUCGAACACCGGAGUAAUGAUUAACAGGGACAGUCAGGGGCACUCGUAUUCCGCCGAGAGAGGUGAAAUUCUCAGACCAGCGGAAGACGAACCACUGCGAAAGCAUUUGCCAGGGAUGUUUUCAUCG